GAUGAACGCUGGCGGCGUGCCUAACACAUGCAAGUCGAGCGAGAAGGUUAUGACGGAUUCUUCGGAUGACGGAUUAACUGGAAAGCGGCGGACGGGUGAGUAACGCGUGGGUAACCUGCCCCAUACACAGGGAUAGCCAUUGGAAACGAUGAUUAAUACCUGAUAACACAUAUUUACCGCAUGGUAGAAAUGUCAAAGAUUUAUCGGUAUGGGAUGGACCCGCGUCUGAUUAGUUAGUUGGUAAGGUAACGGCUUACCAAGACAGCGAUCAGUAGCCGACCUGAGAGGGUGAUCGGCCACACUGGAACUGAGACACGGUCCAGACUCCUACGGGAGGCAGCAGUGGGGAAUAUUGCACAAUGGGCGCAAGCCUGAUGCAGCAACGCCGCGUGAGCGAAGAAGGUCUUCGGAUCGUAAAAGCUCUUUUCUUAGGGAAGAAAAAUGACGGUACCUAAGGAAUAAGCACCGGCUAAAUACGUGCCAGCGCCGC
rnacentral:rRNA from 1 species